rnacentral:rRNA from 1 species
CACGCAGGCGGUCUUUUAAGUUUGACGUGAAAGCUCCCGGCUUAACUGGGAGAGGUCGUUGAAGACUGGAAGACUUGAGGCAAUGAGAGGGGUGUAGAAUUCCCGGUGUAGUGGUGGAAUGCGUAGAUAUCGGGGGGAAUACCAGUGGCGAAAGCGGCACCCUAGCGUUAGCCUGACGCUCAUGUGCGAAAGCGUGGGGAGCAACG